rnacentral:rRNA from 1 species
UACGGAAGGGGCAAGCGUUGUUCGGAAUCAUUGGGCGUAAAGGGCGCGUAGGUGGUUCUGUAUGUCUACCGUGAAAGCGUACGGCUCAACCGUAUUUUGUCGGUGGAAACUGCAGGACUUGAGGCUGGGAGGGGCUGGUGGAAUUCCCUGUGUAGCGGUGAAAUGCGUAGAGAUGGGGGAGAACACUCGUGGCGAAGGCGGCCAGCUAGACCAGUUCUGACACUGAGGCGCGAUAGCGUGGGGAGCAAACAGG